AGGGAUGCAUAUGUGGAGCUGAAGGAUUUAACAAACUUACAAUGGAAGGCCCCCAUACUUUAGUACGGGUUGUACUUCUCUCAACUGUCUGGAUCUGUUGCAUAUCAUCUUUGACAUCUGCAGACGGUAAUGUUACACUGGGUAAGUAUUUUUUUAAGUAUUUACUUUAAA